CGUCGAGCUACUACGGUAGUGAAGUCAUUGAUGCCAUGCUUCCAGGAAAAGCCUCUAAGCUUCAGAUUGUAAGGAAUCGUACCCCAAACCGACACAGGUGGUCGGGUAGAGAAUACCAAGGCGCUUGAGAGAACUCGGGUGAAGGAACUAGGCAAAAUGGUACCGUAACUUCGGGAGAAGGUACGCUCUUGAUGGUGAAGUCCCUUGCGGAUGGAGCUGACGAGAGUCGCAGAUACCAGGUGGCUGCAACUGUUUAUUAAAAACACAGCACUGUGCAAAAUCGUAAGAUGACGUAUACGGUGUGACGCCUGCCCGGUGCCGGAAGGUUAAUUGAUGGGGUUAGCGUAAGCGAAGCUCUUGAUCGAAGCCCCGGUAAACGGCGGCCGUAACUAUAACGGUCCUAAGGUAGCGAAAUUCCUUGUCGGGUAAGUUCCGACCUGCACGAAUGGCGUAAUGAUGGCCACGCUGUCUCCACCCGAGACUCAGUGAAAUUGAAAUCGCUGUGAAGAUGCAGUGUACCCGCGGCUAGACGGAAAGACCCCGUGAACCUUUACUACAGCUUGGCACUGAACAUUGAACCUACAUGUGUAGGAUAGGUGGGAGGCUUUGAAGACGUGACGCCAGUUGCGUUGGAGCCGUCCUUGAAAUACCACCCUUGUAUGUUUGAUGUUCUAACGUUGGCCCCUAAUCGGGGUUGCGGACAGUGCCUGGUGGGUAGUUUGACUGGGGCGGUCUCCUCCCAAAGAGUAACGGAGGAGCACGAAGGUGGGCUAAUCACGGUUGGACAUCGUGAGGUUAGUGCAAUGGCAUAAGCCCGCUUAACUGCGAGAAUGACGGUUCGAGCAGGUGCGAAAGCAGGUCAUAGUGAUCCGGUGGUUCUGAAUGGAAGGGCCAUCGCUCAACGGAUAAAAGGUACUCCGGGGAUAACAGGCUGAUACCGCCCAAGAGUUCAUAUCGACGGCGGUGUUUGGCACCUCGAUGUCGGCUCAUCACAUCCUGGGGCUGAAGUCGGUCCCAAGGGUAUGGCUGUUCGCCAUUUAAAGUGGUACGCGAGCUGGGUUUAGAACGUCGUGAGACAGUUCGGUCCCUAUCUGCCGUGGGCGUUGGAAGAUUGAAGGGGGCUGCUCCUAGUACGAGAGGACCGGAGUGGACGAACCUCUGGUGUUCGGGUUGUGUCGCCAGACGCAUUGCCCGGUAGCUAAGUUCGGAAUCGAUAACCGCUGAAAGCAUCUAAGCGGGAAGCGAGCCCUGAGAUGAGUCUUCCCUGAUACUUUAAGUAUCCUGAAGGGUUGUUCGAGACUAGAACGUUGAUAGGCAGGGUGUGUAAGCGCUGUGAGGCGUUGAGCUAACCUGUACUAAUUGCCCGUGAGGCUUAACCAU
rnacentral:rRNA from 1 species